UUUAUGGAGAGUUUGAUCCUGGCUCAGGAUGAACGCUGGCGGCGUGCCUAAUACAUGCAAGUCGAGCGAACGGACGAGAAGCUUGCUUCUCUGAUGUUAGUGGCGGACGGGUGAGUAACACGUGGAUAACCUACCUAUAAGACUGGGAUAACUUCGGGAAACCG
rnacentral:rRNA from 1 species